UUGACCUCGGAUCAGGUAAAAAUACCCGCUGAACUUAAGCAUAUCAA
rnacentral:rRNA from 1 species